rnacentral:rRNA from 1 species
UACGGGGGGAGCAAGCGUUGUUCGGAUUUACUGGGCGUAAAGGGCGCGUAGGCGGCCACCGCAAGUCGGUUGUGAAAUCUCCGGGCUUAACCCGGAAAGGUCAACCGAUACUGCGGGGCUAGAGUGCAGAAGGGGCAACUGGAAUUCUCGGUGUAGCGGUGAAAUGCGUAGAUAUCGAGAGGAACACCUGCGGCGAAGGCGGGUUGCUGGGCUGACACGUGACGCUGGAUGCGCGAAAGCUAGGGGAGCGAACGGG